CUGGUCUUGAACUCCUGACCUCAGGUGAUCCACCCACCUUGGCCUUCCAAAGUGCUGGGAUUACAGACAUGAGCCACAGCACCUGAUCUUAUUAUUAACUUCCAACUGAGAUAGACUUUUAUAAUAUAUUCUGAUGUUGAACAAACUACAGUAGACAUUUUAAAAAUACAUUGUUAAUUAAAAAUUUUUUUUUUUAAAUGAAACUCUCCAAAUCUGCUCCACGGGAGUGAGGCUGAUGCAACUAGAAGCUACAGAAAUAUUUGGCCUUGGAUUUCACUCGUUAAGAGAGAGCUGCCAACUCGUCCUUACCAACAGGGCGAUUUGCUGCAAAUUUGUACUGACUUCUGAAAAACACUUUAUCCAUUGUCUUCUUACAUCAGAAUCAACUCCCUAAAUUCUUGGGCACUGGCUUUGUAAACUGGUUUCUGGUCUUUGUUUCUGUCAACUUACCUAUAAAAGGAUACAAAAACUGAAGAACAGAGAGGAGGAUAUACCCUGGAAAGCCGAAGGUUUUAUUGACCAAAGACUG